rnacentral:lncRNA from 10 species
UUCAUUAUCUUCAUUUUCCCUGAGCCACAGAGCCUUGUGAUCUCUCCACAACCUAUCAUCGUGGAUUAGCUGGACACACAGUGACCUAAUUUAGAGAAGAGAGUUCUUGGCCUCCAUUUAAACGACAUGUGGCAGCAUUGGAGUAACUUUCAACCAGUGAAAGAUUGAGAAACAGAGCAGGAGCUCAAUAAUUACCUCAUGAAAAAGAAAGGAUGCAGAAAUGAACAAUGAAUGAGUACUUUUAUGUGAACAUGCACAAGGUUCUUGGAGUACAGAAAAUGAUGCAG